ACCUGCAAAGUGCGAGACUUGUAACUUUUUUAAAAAAUGGCGCCAGUCUGAAGGGUAGAUCGAACAGGAAAAGUCGUUAAAUGGCCAAGUUCCGGUUUAGUUUUGUUUGACUGAUGGACUUGAACUUACCGCAAGAGUGUAUCUGGGGCCAGUCUUUGCGGAGCACGAGACCGCUCGUAAUUUGUCACCUCACUUCCCUACCUGAAACUGCCAGGUCGUACUACCGAAUGUUGACGAUCUUGACCGAGGUCUUCACCUCAGGGAAAGCAUCUCAGACUCCGAGACCGCUCAGGAAUCAGAAAGUAAAAAGGAACAGAGACGCCUCUGCCCAGGAAACAGUCACGUCGCCCGCCGCCCUCUGCUUGUCUCACCGCCCAGCAGCUCUACGCGCCCACGGUGACGUGAAGGUACGACCGUGCUUGUAUUCCAAAGUGACCAAGGCUGUUCUGUAAUUUACGACAGCAAGAAAAUUUCACUAAAUAGGAGCCUUUCUGUUGAGCUUUUGAUUCUAUUUUCCACUGAGGUUUUCUGGAAUUCUCAUUAGCACGAUGUGGGUGUCUUUUUGGAGAUUGGCUCGCUUUUAUAAAUCAAAUGUUUUGUUUAUGAACUUAAGACUGAGGGAUAAAUAACCGUUGGUUCCCAGUCAAUUGAGCAAAAUGCACCACUGGCUGCAACAAAAGGGAGAGUUUCUGAACAAAUUUAUACAGGUUUUGUUGCAUUUCAGGCUUUUUGUCAAAAUGUUUGUUUACGAUAAUUACAGUAAAGUAAAGUAAACAAUAUUUCUUCUUUUUGUCAAGACUUAAUGCAAUAAAUUGGCCAGCAAAACUCAAAAUCAAAAAUUAUCGAUUGUGCAGGUUUUCGUGAAAACACCGUCGAUAGGCCUAUCCUUGCAACCAGGUGACGUGUUUUUGGCCUUUUACUUAAAGAAAAAAAAAGUUAGGCCAA